UUGCGGCUACAUCACUUUGAGACACCGGUUCCUAUACGAUCACCGAAUUUAAGCAACGUCGAGCCUGGUCAAUACCUAGAUGGGUGAGUGCUUAGGAAUAUAAGGUGCUGUAAG